rnacentral:rRNA from 1 species
UAACCUGCCCAAGAGACUGGGAUAACACCUGGAAACAGGAUGCUAAUACCGGAUAACAACACUAGACGCAUGUCUAGAGUUUAAAAGAUGGUUCUGCUAUCACUCUUGGAUGGACCUGCGGUGCAUUAGCUAGUUGGUAAGGUAACGGCUUACCAAGGCAAUGAUGCAUAGCCGAGUUGAGAGACUGAUCGGCCACAUUGGGACUGAGACACGGCCCAAACUCCUACGGGAGGCAGCAG